ensembl:lncRNA
GGCAACUCCGAGGUGAAAAUGUGCUAACAUACUGCUCUCAACUUGCACUUCCUCUCAGACUCCUGUUUGUGGGCUCCACCCCAAUUUGAGAAAAGGAAACUAGAACCUAGAAACUUACAGAGGCACUUCAAGAAGUGCAGGUACCCAGCCAUGGCCCAAGAGGAACCUGGGGGCUCCAACUCAGUCCUGAAUGGUGACGCUAAUAGUGACGAAAAGAUGGAGAAGUGGACAUGUGCCCUCUGCCCUGAAGGCCACGACUGGAGUGUGAUUUACUUCGAACCAUAAUCGAAUAUAGCAGCUCAUGAAAACUGUCUGGUAAGUUACUGGUAAAAACUUUAAAACUACAUGUUUAGGACUGAAAAGUGGGUCAGUGGUGAAAAUCACCAGACACUCUUCCAGAGGAACUAGUUUCCAUUCCCAGCACUCACAUGGUGCCUCACAACCAGCACGGAAGAUCUCUGUGUGAAGACGAUGAUGACAGAAGUCAUAAUGUCUGCAGGGGCAGAGGGCCUUUGAGGUGGAAAUACUGAUUUAGUUCUAACUGCCCCAGUCUCCUGAGUGCUGAGUCUACAGGUAUGUAGGGCCACAUCAAGGUAUCAGAUCUGUGUUAAAUUAUGAAUCAUCUGUCCUGUAUCCUUGAGUGUGUAUUUCUACAUCAAGGACCUUGUGUCCCAUAAGUGCAAUUUACCCAUCAAGGUCAGACAUGAGCACUGCCUCUCUAGCGCCACCUAGAAGCCUCAUUGAGUUUUCACCAGCCGUCCCAACAACAUGGCCAAGGGGUGAAUGAAGCACAGGGGCUGCAGGGAGCCUUUUCCCUUUAACCUGUUGUGUCCUCAUAACAUUUCCUGGUAAUUUGAAGUCACUUCCAAUUGUCUGUUGACAUGCCAGUAUUUUUAGUAAACUUUCUUGAUAUGCUUUUCAUUAAAACAAAAGUGUAGUGACUGAAGUGUGCAGUUGUGUUUUGAGACAUACUUGCUCCAUGUGGUCACUGUCACUAUUCAGAGAGCUCCCAGGACCCCAGAACAUCCCCUCAUGCCUCUCUGCAGUCAGCCCACACUUACUCCAUGUCCCUCUGGAUUGCUCAUUUUGUCAGAGAUCACAGGACGGGAGUGCUGCAGCAUGGCCUCCUUAGUGUGUGGUCUCUUUGCUCCCCAGUGAUGCAGAGCAUCUCCUGGGCCUGUGUGCGUUUGGUCCCAUUUGCGUUCUACAUCUCUGCACUCAGUCAAAUGACUCAGGAUAUCUAUGCCUACAGGGAAUUCCCAUGAACUUCUUCUUGCUGUGCUGCAUUGACAUUUAUAGCAGACGACACUUCAGUAGCAUUUAUAUUGUCUAAUUCCGGAGAAGAUGUAACGGACAGACAGGCAUGCAUAGGCUGUGUUAGGGCUUCUACACUUGAUCUUAGCCAAAAGGCCGAGAAGCGAUGUGUGUUAGGGCUUCUACGACUGCCUCCAAGACACCAUGACUCAAAAGCAAAUUGGGAGGAAACCAUUUAUUUGGUUGCAUUUCCAUAUACCUGCUCAUUAUAGAAGGAAUUAAAAACAUAAAUUCAAACAGGGCUGAAACCUGAAUACAGGAGAUCAUGGACAUGAAAAGGAGGGGGCUGCUUUCUGGUUUGCUCUCAGGGUUUGCUCCGUCUGCUUUCCUACAGAAUCUAACACCAGCAGCCCAGGGAUGGCAACAUCUAGUAUUUGCUGGACUCUCCCCCAUUGGUCACUAAUUAAGAAAAUCCCUUACAGCCCGAUCUUAUGAAGG